rnacentral:rRNA from 1 species
CCUACGGGAGGCAGCAGUAGGGAAUAUUGCUCAAUGGGGGAAACCCUGAAGCAGCAACGCCGCGUGGAGGAUGAAGGUUUUCGGAUUGUAAACUCCUUUUGUUAGAGAAGAUAAUGACGGUAUCUAACGAAUAAGCACCGGCCAACUCCGUGCCCGCAGCCGCGGUAAUACGGAGGGUGCAAGCGUUACUCGGAAUCACUGGGCGUAAAGAGCGCGUAGGCGGGAUAGCAAGUCAGAUGUGAAAUCCUAUGGCUUAACCAUAGAACUGCAUUUGAAACUGUUAUUCUAGAGUAUGGGAGAGGUAGGUGGAAUGCUUGGUGUAGCGGUAAAAUGCGUAGAGAUCAAGAGGAACACCAGUGGCGAAGGCGGCCUGCUGGGCUUUUACUGACGCUGAGGCUCGAAAGUGUGGGGAGCAAACAGGAUUAGAUACCCCUGUAGUC